rnacentral:rRNA from 1 species
AUUGAACGCUGGCGGCAGGCUUAACACAUGCAAGUCGAGCGGAGCUAUGGUGCUUGCACUAUAUCUUAGCGGCGGACGGGUGAGUAAUGCUUAGGAAUCUGCCUAUUAGUGGGGGUCAACAUUACGAAAGGAAUGCUAAUACCGCAUACGCCCUACGGGUGAAAGCAGGGGAUCCGCGGACCUUGUGCUUAUAGAUGAGCUUAAGUCGGAUUAGCUAGUUGGUGGGGUAAAGGCCUACCAAGGCGACGAUCUGUAGAGGGUCUGAGAGGAUGAUCCGCCACACUGGGACUGAGACACGGCCCAGACUCCUACGGGAGGCAGCAGUGGGGAAUAUUGGACAAUGGGCGCAAGCCUGAUCCAGCCAUGCCGCGUGUGUGAAGAAGGCCUUUUGGUUGUAAAGCACUUUAAGCGAGGAGGAGGCUACUCUAGUUAAUACCUAGGGAUAGUGGACGUUACUCGCAGAAUAAGCACCGGCUAACUCUGUGCCAGCAGCCGCGGUAA